rnacentral:rRNA from 1 species
AAAAAAGGUAAGCUACUAAGAGCGAAUGGUGGAUGCCUUGACUGGUAAAGGCGAUGAAGGACGUACUAGACUGCGAUAAGCUACGGGGAGCUGUCAAGAAGCUUUGAUCCGUAGAUUUCCGAAUGGGGCAACCCAAUGUAUAGAGAUAUACAUUACCUAUAUAGGAGCGAACGAGGGGAAUUGAAACAUCUUAGUACCCUCAGGAAAAGAAAUCAAUAGAGAUUGCGUCAGUAGCGGCGAGCGAAAGCGCAAGAGGGCAAACCCAGUGCUUGCACUGGGGGUUGUAGGACUGCAAUGUGCAAGAGGUGAGUUUAGCAGAACAUUCUGGAAAGUAUAGCCAUAGAGGGUGAUAGUCCCGUAUGCGAAAAACAAACCUUAGCUAGCAGCAUCCUGAGUAGGGCGGGACACGAGAAAUCCUGUCUGAAGCUGGGUCGACCACGAUCCAACCCUAAAUACUAAUACCAGAUCGAUAGUGCACAAGUACCGUGAGGGAAAGGUGAAAAGAACUGAGGUGAUCAGAGUGAAAUAGAACCUGAAACCAUUUGCUUACAAUCAUUCAGAGCACUAUGUAGCAAUACAGUGUGAUGGACUGCCUUUUGCAUAAUGAGCCUGCGAGUUGUGGUGUCUGGCAAGGUUAAGCAAACGCGAAGCCGUAGCGAAAGCGAGUCUGAAUAGGGCGCUUAGUCAGAUGCUGCAGACCCGAAACGAAGUGAUCUAUCCAUGAGCAAGUUGAAGCUAGUGUAAGAACUAGUGGAGGACUGAACCCAUAGGCGUUGAAAAGCCCCGGGAUGACUUGUGGAUAGGGGUGAAAGGCCAAUCAAACUUCGUGAUAGCUGGUUCUCUCCGAAAUAUAUUUAGGUAUAGCGUUGUGUCGUAAUAUAAGGGGGUAGAGCACUGAAUGGGCUAGGGCAUACACCAAUGUACCAAACCCUAUCAAACUCCGAAUACCUUAUAUGUAAUCACAGCAGUCAGGCGGCGAGUGAUAAAAUCCGUCGUCAAGAGGGAAACAACCCAGACUACCAGCUAAGGUCCCUAAAUCUUACUUAAGUGGAAAACGAUGUGAAGUUACUUAAACAACCAGGAGGUUGGCUUAGAAGCAGCCAUCCUUUAAAGAAAGCGUAAUAGCUCACUGGUCUAGUGAUUUUGCGCGGAAAAUAUAACGGGGCUAAAGUAAGUACCGAAGCUGUAGACUUGACUUUGUCAAGUGGUAGGAGAGCGUUCUAUUUGCGUCGAAGGUAUACCGGUAAGGAGUGCUGGAGCGAAUAGAAGUGAGCAUGCAGGCAUGAGUAGCGAUAAUUAAUGUGAGAAUCAUUAACGCCGUAAACCCAAGGUUUCCUACGCGAUGCUCGUCAUCGUAGGGUUAGUCGGGUCCUAAGUCGAGUCCGAAAGGGGUAGACGAUGGCAAAUUGGUUAAUAUUCCAAUACCAACAUUAGUGUGCGAUGGAAGGACGCUUAGGGCUAAGGGGGCUAGCGGAUGGAAGUGCUAGUCUAAGGUCGUAGGUGCUUAUACAGGCAAAUCCGUAUAAGAAUACACCGAGAACUGAAAGGCUUUUUGAAGUCUUCGGAUGGAUAGAAGAACCCCUGAUGCCGUCGAGCCAAGAAAAGUUUCUAAGUUUAGCUAAUGUUGCCCGUACCGUAAACCGACACAGGUGGGUGGGAUGAGUAUUCUAAGGCGCGUGGAAGAACUCUCUUUAAGGAACUCUGCAAAAUAGCACCGUAUCUUCGGUAUAAGGUGUGGUUCGCUUCGUAUUAGGAUUUACUCCGAAAGCGAAGAAACUUACAACAAAGAGUCCCUCCCGACUGUUUACCAAAAACACAGCACUCUGCUAACUCGUAAGAGGAUGUAUAGGGUGUGACGCCUGCCCGGUGCUCGAAGGUUAAUUGAUGGGGUUAGCAUUAGCGAAGCUCUUGAUCGAAGCCCGAGUAAACGGCGGCCGUAACUAUAACGGUCCUAAGGUAGCGAAAUUCCUUGUCGGUUAAAUACCGACCUGCAUGAAUGGCGUAACGAGAUGGGAGCUGUCUCAAAGAGGGAUCCAGUGAAAUUGUAGUGGAGGUGAAAAUUCCUCCUACCCGCGGCAAGACGGAAAGACCCCGUGGACCUUUACUACAGCUUGACACUGCUACUUGGAUAAGAAUGUGCAGGAUAGGUGGGAGGCUUUGAGUAUAUGACGCCAGUUGUAUAUGAGCCAUUGUUGAGAUACCACUCUUUCUUAUUUGGGUAGCUAACCAGCUUGAGUUAUCCUCAAGUGGGACAAUGUCUGGUGGGUAGUUUGACUGGGGCGGUCGCCUCCCAAAUAAUAACGGAGGCUUACAAAGGUUGGCUCAGAACGGUUGGAAAUCGUUCGUAGAGUAUAAAGGUAUAAGCCAGCUUAACUGCAAGACAUACAAGUCAAGCAGAGACGAAAGUCGGUCUUAGUGAUCCGGUGGUUCUGUGUGGAAGGGCCAUCGCUCAAAGGAUAAAAGGUACCCCGGGGAUAACAGGCUGAUCUCCCCCAAGAGCUCACAUCGACGGGGAGGUUUGGCACCUCGAUGUCGGCUCAUCGCAUCCUGGGGCUGGAGCAGGUCCCAAGGGUAUGGCUGUUCGCCAUUUAAAGCGGUACGCGAGCUGGGUUCAGAACGUCGUGAGACAGUUCGGUCCCUAUCUGCCGUGGGCGUAAGAAGAUUGAAGAGAUUUGACCCUAGUACGAGAGGACCGGGUUGAACAAACCACUGGUGUAGCUGUUGUUCUGCCAAGAGCAUCGCAGCGUAGCUAAGUUUGGAAAGGAUAAACGCUGAAAGCAUCUAAGCGUGAAGCCAACUCUAAGAUGAAUCUUCUCUAAGCUCUCUAGAAGACUACUAGUUUGAUAGGCUGGGUGUGUAAUGGAUGAAAGUCCUUUAGCUGACCAGUACUAAUAGAGCGUUUGGCUUAUCUUUAAUAAAGCAU